GACGUAGGGUGCGAGCGUUGUCCGGAUUUAUUGGGCGUAAAGAGCUCGUAGGCGGCUUGUUGCGUCGACUGUGAAAACCCGCGGCUUAACCGCGGGCUUGCAGUUUGAUACGGGCAGGCUAGAGUUCGUGAGGGGGAGUCUGGAAUUCCUGGUGUAGCGGUGGAAUGCGCAGAUAUCAGGAGGAACACCGGUGGCGAAGGCGGGAUCCUGGGCCAGUACUGACGCUGAGGAGCGAAAGCGUGGGGAGCAAACAGG
rnacentral:rRNA from 1 species